CAAGAGGCAUUAUGAUACAUCAAGGACACACUCCUACCAGGCAGAAGUGCCAGCUUGAAGAAAGAUAUUUGGAUGGCCCAGACAAGAAUGGUACCACUUUAAACAGUCAUGGCUUCCCCACAAGAAUUCUGGAGGCUGCCGUUUCCUAAGGUGCUGGGAGUUGUUAGGAGACUCCCUAUUUCAUGGACGAAAAGGCUAUCAGUGACUGCUAAGCCUGGUGCUUACGUUCUGUCUUCAUUGCUGGAGGCAACGUGCUUCUGAAUACCAGUUGCUGGAAACAGCAGGAGGGGAAAGUGCUCUAAGAAAGUGGAGCAGAUCAAAACAUAAAAUGCAUCAUUGAGCAAAACAAAUUGACAGGGUUAGCGGAGCCUGUCAGCAAGUGUUAAUUCUCAGUAAGUUUAGCUCCGACAGAAAAAAAUCAGCUUGCUAAGCCCAAGAAUCCAGGGAGUUCUCCUUAAGCACCUCCUCCUGUUUAAAAGAUUGCAAAAUGACCUUUAGGACAGCUUGCAAGCUGAAUGUGCUUGCUAAUGGCACUUGGUGGCUGGUGGCUACUAGCUACUGCACAGAUGCCUGGCUGGGCGAGGGGAUGGAGUCAAACUGUUUGGCAAUCUGAUGGUAGCCAACAAGGGAGACGUGGUGGGGAAAUGAGUUAUGAAAGUGACCU